GGAGCUUCCGCCAUUAACUCCAGUUUGGGUUAAAACCCCUAUCCGGAUGACACAGAGGAGGGAAUGGAUCCUAGGUUGGGUGGAUGAAACUCAGUACAGAUCACAGGUUUGUUCUGAGGUUUGGAGGCAAAAUCGGAAUCACGGUUGUGUCCGAGAAUCAUUCGGAUGACGUAGCGGGCAAACCUGAACUCUAUAUAUUUGUUAAUAAAACAAAUCUUGCAAAGAUAUCAUCAGCUCCCAGUGAUCUCUCCUCCAAAAGAAGCCAGAAUCCAUGAAGCACUGCACCCUUGGAAUUUCUCAGCACUUGGGGAAAUGGAAACACAUGCAGGUUGAAGCCAUAUCUCUGGUAAUAAACAGAAUGAUAACUCACUAAGCAGCUGUGCAGUGCUCCUUCCAUUGGAAACAAGUUGCCUUUUAAAUUGUGCAACAGCAAUGGUGGGUCCCUAAUGUUGAUGGAGAGUUGCCUGUCAUGUCGGCCAGUAUAUGUACGUACAGAUCUGAGACAAACAGCACAGUCCAAUAUAAUUGGAUUCAAAAAAUGGAACAAUGGUCUACAAAUAAUCAAUAUUGUUAUUAUAAAAAGGCUGUAAUACAUCUAAUUACACAUUUAUUAAAAAUUAUAAAUAGUAAAAACAAUUAUUAAAAAUAUAAAGCAUACACCAUUAAACACUAAAA